rnacentral:ribozyme from 1 species
AGAGAAAGUCAGAAAGAAGCAUCAAUAUGACGGGAAAAAGAGUGAGUUUUUUUGGGAAAGAGCUGACGAGUUCCUCCUUCUUCUUCUUCUUCUUCUUGGUUUUUUUUUGUGUGUUUUUCUCAUUCUUUCGCCAGUUUUGCUCA